rnacentral:tRNA from 1 species
GUCCCUGUAGCGCAAUGGAUAGCGCGUUGGACUUAUAAUCCAAAGGUCGUGGAUUCAAAUCCUACCUGGGAUG